rnacentral:rRNA from 1 species
UGGGGAAUUUUGGACAAUGGGCGCAAGCCUGAUCCAGCAAUGCCGCGUGCAGGAUGAAGGCCUUCGGGUUGUAAACUGCUUUUGUACGGGAACGAAAAGCCUCUCUCUAAUACAGGGGGUGAUGACGGUACCGUAAGAAUAAGCACCGGCUAACUACGUGCCAGCAGCCGCGGUAAUACGUAGGGUGCAAGCGUUAAUCGGAAUUACUGGGCGUAAAGCGCGCGCAGGCGGUUUUGUAAGACAGUGGUGAAAUCCCCGGCUCAACCUGGGAACUGCCAUUGUGACUGCAAGGCUGGAGUGCGGCAGAGGGGGGAUGGAAUUCCGCGUGUAGCAGUGAAAUGCGUAGGUAUGCGGAGGAACACCGAUGGCGAAGGCAAUCCCCUGGGCCUGCACUGACGCUCAUGCACGAAAAGCGUGGGGGAGCAAAACAGGAUUAGAUACCCUGGUAGUCCACGCCCUAAAACGAUGUCAAC